rnacentral:tmRNA from 1 species
GGGGGCGACCGGUCUCGACGUGGGUAGCAAAACCCGAGGUGCAUGCCGAGGCGCAGCAUACCUCGUAAAUCCAGCUGCAACCAAGAUAGUUGCCAACGACGACAACUACGCUCUGGCUGCUUAAAGACGGCCAGCCUCUGACCGAGUCCGUGCUUGUGCGCUCAGCUCAGGGGUCGACUCACACAAGCUCGCGAUGAGGCUUGUCCGAAGCCGAUUCGCUAAAACCCAGCCGGACUCGCCACUCGCCGGCCCUGCCCGCCGGGCGGCGUGUGGUUAAACACAAAGACGGGCUAAGCAUGUAGAGCCAAGGGCGGAGUGCUCGCGGACGCGGGUUCGAUUCCCGCCGCCUCCACCA